rnacentral:rRNA from 1 species
UACGGAGGGUGCAAACGUUGCUCGGAAUCAUUGGGCGUAAAGCGCACGUAGGCGGUCCUUUAAGUCGGGUGUGAAAGCCCUCGGCUCAACCGAGGAAGUGCAUUCGAAACUGGGGGACUUGAAUACUGGAGAGGAUGGCGGAAUUCCCGGUGUAGAGGUGAAAUGCGCAGAUAUCAGGAAGAACACCCGUGGCUAAGGCGGCUCUCUAGUACGGUACUGACGCUGAGACGCGAAAGCGUGGGGAGCGAACAGG